GAAAUUACGCCUUCCAUGAAGCUGGAAUUGCUAGUAAUGGCAGGUCAGCAUACUGCCGUGAAUACGUUCCCGGGCCUUGUACACACCGCUCGUCACACCAUGAGAGUUGGGAAUACCCGAAGCCUGUGAGCUAACAUAUGAGGCAGCAGUCGAAGGUAGAAUCAAUGAUUGGGGUGAAGUCGUAACAAGGUAAC
rnacentral:rRNA from 1 species